rnacentral:rRNA from 1 species
GACGUAGGGGCGAGCGUUGUCCGGAUUUAUUGGGCGUAAAGAGCUCGUAGGCGGCUCGUUGCGUCGGCUGUGAAAACCCGCAGCUCAACUGUGGGCUUGCAGCCGAUACGGGCGGGCUGGAGUUCGGUAGGGGAGACGUGGAAUUCCUGGUGUAGCGGUGAAAUGCGCAGAUAUCAGGAGGAACACCGGUGGCGAAGGCGGGUCUCUGGGCCGAUACUGACGCUGAGGAGCGAAAGCGUGGGGAGCGAACAGG